rnacentral:rRNA from 1 species
CGCUAAUACCGCAUACGACCUACGGGUGAAAGCAGGGGACCUUCGGGCCUUGCGCGAUUGAAUGAGCCGAUGUCGGAUUAGCUAGUUGGCGGGGUAAAGGCCACCAAGGCGACGAUCCGUAGCUGGUCUGAGAGGAUGAUCAGCCACACUGGAACUGAGACACGGUCCAGACUCCUACGGGAGGCAGCAGUGGGGAAUAUUGGACAAUGGGCGCAACUGAAUCCAGCCAUACCGCGUGGGUGAAGAAGGCCUUCGGGUUGUGAAGCCCUUUUGUUGGGAAAGAAAUCCAGCCGGCUAAUACCUGGGUGGGAUGACGGUACCCAAAGAAUAAGCACCGGCUAACUUCGUGCCAGCAGCCCGCGGUAAUACGAAGGGUGCAAGCGUUACUCGGAAUUACUGGGCGUAAAGCGUGCGUAGGUGGUCGUUUAAGUCUGUUGUGAAAGCCCUGGGCUCAACCUGGGAACUGCAGUGGAAACUGGACGACUAGAGUGUGGUAGAGGGUAGCGGAAUUCCUGGUGUAGCAGUGAAAUGCGUAGAGAUCAGGAGGAACAUCCAUGGCGAAGGCA